rnacentral:rRNA from 1 species
AACGAACGCUGGCGGCAGGCUUAACACAUGCAAGUCGAGCGCCCCGCAAGGGGAGCGGCAGACGGGUGAGUAACGCGUGGGAACGUACCCUUUGCUACGGAAUAGCUCCGGGAAACUGGAAUUAAUACCGUAUGUGCCCUACGGGGAAAGAUUUAUCGGCAAAGGAUCGGCCCGCGUUGGAUUAGCUAGUUGGUGGGGUAAUGGCCUACCAAGGCGACGAUCCAUAGCUGGUCUGAGAGGAUGAUCAGCCACAUUGGGACUGAGACACGGCCCAAACUCCUACGGGAGGAAGCAGUGGGGAAUAUUGGACAAUGGGCGCAAGCCUGAGCCAGCCAUGCCGCGUGAGUGAUGAAGGCCUUAGGGUUGUAAAGCUCUUUCACCGGAGAAGAUAAUGACGGUAUCCGGAGAAGAAGCCCCGGCUAACUUCGUGCCAGCCGCCGCGGUAACAC